CCCUUCCCGUGUCCCCCCCCAGCUUUGCCAGCGGCCCCCCCGCGCUGUCCAGCAGCCCCCCGGACUCCUUCCAGCAGCUCCACGUGGAUAACGGGAACGUGACGGACAUCAACGACAACAGGAGUGAUUUGUCCUGCGCCUGUGAGGCCGAGGAGGCAGCAAAGCUCUUCCCCCUGCGCCAGGAGACGGCGGCCAGUUAAUGCCCCCCAGGUAC